rnacentral:misc_RNA from 1 species
GAUGAAGAACGCAGCGAAAUGCGAUAAGUAGUGUGAAUUGCAGAAUUCAGUGAAUCAUCGAAUCUUUGAACGCACAUUGCGCCCCUUGGUAUCCCGAGGGGCAUGCCUGUUCGAGCGUCAUUUCACCACUCAAGCCUGGCUUGGUGUUGGGCGACGUCCUCUUUGGGGACGCGCCUCGAAACGCUCGGCGGCGUGGCACCGGCUUUAAGCGUAGCAGAAUCUUUCGCUUUGGAAGUCGGGGCCCCGUCUGCCGGAAGACCUGCUCGCAAGGUUGACCUCGGAUAAGGCAGGGAUACCCGCUGAACUUAAGCAUAUCAAUAAGCGGAGGA